UACGGGGGGGGCAAGCGUUGUUCGGAAUUACUGGGCGUAAAGGGCUCGUAGGCGGCCAACUAAGUCAGACGUGAAAUCCCUCGGCUUAACCGGGGAACUGCAUCUGAUACUGGAUGGCUUGAGAUUGGGAGAGGGAUGCGGAAUUCCAGGUGUAGCGGUGAAAUGCGUAGAUAUCUGGAGGAACACCGGUGGCGAAGGCGGCAUCCUGGACCAACACUGACGCUGAGUAGCGAAAGCCAGGGGAGCAAAC
rnacentral:rRNA from 1 species